ACUACAAAAAAAAAUCACUCAACUGCUAUUUUUGCUUAUAAUCCCAAGUUACAAGGCCUAAUUUUCUAUUGAUUAUGGCUUCAUACAAGUGGUUCAUCUUCUUCUUUCUCAUUGCUCUAUCUUUGUCGAGUCUUGACAAAGUAUCAGCAGGUCGACCUCGUCACUUGGCACAAACAUCAAAUUAUCCCAGUUUGUUCGCGCCUCUUAUCCCCAACUUGCCACCAAUUACAUAUCCUCCGUUCCCUUUCCCUCCCACCGGUCGGCCCACUGUUCCUUAUGUUCCAUUUCCAAAUGUUCCACCUCCAGCAACUACUAGUCCAUGAAGGCAUUGUUUUCAGUACUCGACAUGACUCGAAAAUAAGAUUGUAGCUUUCUUAUCUACUUAAAUAAAUAGUUUGAGUACGUUACAAUUUAAAUUAUGAUGGUGUAAAUGUGUGCAUGUAUUGCUGUAUCUUUGUUAUCUUCUUCGUUCUCGUGUUUUCUACUGAUGAUUAAGAAUGAUCUAUGUUUUCUGUUAUAUUAAUAAUAUUGGGUUAUUGUUUCUGUGACGCGUAUUUUCUUGUUUUAAUUUCUUUGCUGAUAUGUUUAUGAUUUGGAACUUAAAUUCUGCUUUGUAAAGCCCUUUUAGUGUCGUGAAACUUUGUACGUUAUGUUAGGAAAAUUCUCCUACUAUUUCAUGCAAGAUUUCAUAGUAAACUUCUGAUGCAGUCCAAAAACACGAGAAUGCC
rnacentral:lncRNA from 1 species